UACAGAGGUCCCAAGCGUUGUUCGGAUUCACUGGGCGUAAAGGGUGCGUAGGUGGUCAGGUAAGUCGGAUGUGAAAUCUCCGAGCUCAACUCGGAAACUGCAUUGGAAACUACCUGGCUCGAGGGUUGGAGGGGGGACUGGAAUGCUUGGUGUAGCAGUGAAAUGCGUACGAUAUCAAGCGGAACACCAGUGGCGAAGGCGGCCUGCUGGGCAGUUUAGCUGACACUGAGGCGCGACAGCGUGGGGAGCAAACAGG
rnacentral:rRNA from 1 species